AUUGAACGCUGGCGGCAGGCCUAACACAUGCAAGUCGAGCGGCAGCGGGAAAGUAGCUUGCUACUUUUGCCAGCGAGCGGCGGACGGGUGAGUAAUGCCUGGGAAAUUGCCCAGUCGAGGGGGAUAACAGUUGGAAACGACUGCUAAUACCGCAUACGCCCUACGGGGGAAAGCAGGGGACCUUCGGGCCUUGCGCGAUUGGAUAUGCCCAGGUGGGAUUAGCUAGUUGGUGAGGUAAUGGCUCACCAAGGCGACGAUCCCUAGCUGGUCUGGGAGGAUGAUCAGCCACACUGGAACUGAGACACGGUCCAGACUCCUACGGGAGGCAGCAGUGGGGAAUAUUGCACAAUGGGGGAAACCCUGAUGCAGCCAUGCCGCGUGUGUGAAGAAGGCCUUCGGGUUGUAAAGCACUUUCAGCGAGGAGGAAAGGUUGAUGCCUAAUACGUAUCAACUGUGACGUUACUCGCAGAAGAAGCACCGGCUAACUCCGUGCCAGCAGCCGCCGUAACAC
rnacentral:rRNA from 1 species